ACAAAAAACACACUCUUUUCUCCCAUGUAUAAGUGCAUUGUGACGCAUUUUCCUUCAGUAGACGAUCUUUGGGACGCAGAUCUCGCGAGACUAUGGUCGCUGACGGCAGCUUGGCGCUAAGCAGGCUGGAUGGCUGACGCUGCUAACUGGCUGCUAACUGGAUUUUCUUAUCUAACCCUUCACCUGAAAUGGAUGCAGUUGUUCAUGUUCGCUAAAAUAUUCCUGUGUUUAUGAUAUCAACGUUGCUGUAACGGUUGGACGAACUCCAAAAUGGAGGCUGGUGAAGGUGUGAGCAGUGCCACGCCCACAGAUGAGAUGAAUGGAGCCGGCAACUUGAUGGACUUCCUGGAGGAACCUUUCCCCGACGUGGCGACAUAUGAAGACUUUCAUACCAUCGACUGGCUGAGAGAGAAGUCACGAGACACCGACCGCCAUCGCAAGAUCACCAGCAAGAGUAAAGAGUCGAUAUGGGAGCUGAUUAAGAGCCUGCUGGAUGCCUGGUCAGGAUGGGUUGUGAUGCUGCUUAUUGGACUCCUCUCAGGUACGCUGGCUGGAGUCAUUGACCUGGCAGUAGACUGGAUGACAGACCUGAAAGAAGGCGUGUGUCUGUCCGCCUUCUGGUAUAGCCACGAACAGUGCUGCUGGACAUCCAAUGAGACAACCUUUGACGACCGUGACAAGUGUCCGCAGUGGCAGAAGUGGGCAGAGUUGAUGACAGGCCAUUCUGAGGGUGCAGGACCAUAUGUGUUAAACUACUUCCUGUACAUCCUUUGGGCUCUUUUCUUCUCCUUUCUGGCCGUGUCACUAGUGAGAGUGUUUGCGCCGUACGCUUGCGGCUCCGGAAUCCCAGAGAUCAAGACCAUCCUCAGUGGCUUUAUCAUCCGUGGUUAUUUGGGAAAAUGGACACUGCUCAUCAAGACUGUCACGCUGGUGCUGGCUGUGUCAUCGGGCCUCAGCUUGGGGAAGGAAGGUCCUCUGGUCCAUGUUGCAUGCUGCUGCGGGAACCUCUUUUGCAGCCUCUUCUCCAAGUACAGCAAGAACGAGGGAAAGCGACGAGAGGUGUUAUCGGCUGCAGCAGCGGCCGGUGUGUCGGUGGCUUUUGGUGCACCCAUUGGAGGGGUUCUGUUUAGCCUGGAGGAGGUCAGCUACUACUUUCCUCUGAAGACGUUAUGGCGAUCGUUCUUCGCCGCACUGGUCGCUGCUUUCACGCUGCGCUCCAUCAACCCAUUUGGCAACAGCCGUCUGGUUCUGUUCUACGUGGAAUACCACACGCCGUGGUACAUGGCUGAGCUGGUGCCCUUCAUCCUUCUGGGCGUCUUUGGUGGCCUUUGGGGGACCCUCUUCAUCCGCGCCAAUAUCGCCUGGUGUCGGCGGAGAAAGACAACUGAGCUGGGAAAAUACCCAGUUCUGGAAGUCAUCGCAGUGACGGCCAUCACCGCCGUGCUGGCAUAUCCUAACCCGUACACACGGCGCAGUACUAGCGAGCUCAUCUCUGAGCUCUUUAACGACUGUGGAGCGCUGGAGUCGUCGCAGCUCUGCGACUACAUCAACAACCCCAAUAUGAGCCGACCCGUUGACGACAUCCCGGACCGUCCAGCUGGCCCCGGUGUUUACAAUGCUCUGUGGCAGCUGGCGCUCGCUCUCAUCUUCAAGAUCGUCAUCACCAUCUUCACCUUUGGCAUGAAGAUCCCAUCAGGGCUCUUCAUUCCCAGCAUGGCGGUGGGUGCCAUCGCAGGUCGGAUUGUAGGGAUUGCCGUGGAGCAAAUGGCGUACCACCACCAUGACUGGAUCAUUUUCAAAAACUGGUGCAGACCCGGCGCCGAUUGCGUCACACCUGGACUCUACGCCAUGGUGGGUGCCGCUGCCUGUCUGGGUGGUGUGACCAGGAUGACUGUCUCUUUAGUGGUCAUUAUGUUUGAGCUCACCGGCGGUCUGGAGUACAUUGUUCCAUUGAUGGCAGCCGCUGUCACCAGCAAGUGGGUGGCUGAUGCCUUUGGGAAAGAAGGCAUUUAUGAGUCGCACAUACAGCUCAACGGGUACCCGUACCUGGAUGUCAGGGAUGAGUUCACCCACCGCACCUUGGCUGCUGACGUGAUGCGGCCUCGAAGGAAUGACCCACCGCUAGCCGUCCUUACGCAGGAUGCCACCACCGUGGAGGAUGUUGAGGCGCUGAUCAAGGACACGGAUUAUAACGGCUUCCCAGUAGUUGUGUCCCGGGAGUCUGAGCGGCUCAUCGGCUUCGUGCAGCGCAGAGACCUCACCCUCGCCAUCAAAAACGCCCGUCAGAAGCAAGAUGGCGUGGUUAGCAGCUCAAUGGUCUACUUCACAGAGGACCCGCCGCAGUUGCCGGCCAGCACCCCGCACCCGCUGAAACUGCGUCGCAUACUGAACCUGAGUCCGUUUACCGUCACAGACCACACACCCAUGGAAACUGUGGUGGACAUAUUCCGCAAGCUGGGUCUCCGCCAGUGUCUGGUCACACGCAGCGGGCGUCUGCUCGGCAUUAUCACCAAGAAGGAUGUUCUCCGUCACAUGGCGCAAAUGAUGAACCAGGAUCCCGAGUCCAUCAUGUUCAAUUAGCUUUGCGACAUGCUGCACCUUGUAAAAUUGUGAUAAUACCCUCUCACCUCUCGACAGGGUUUGGUGGUCACCUCCUGCUGCUGGACGGCUCUCUCCAGGUCUGAGUAGUAUUCCAGAGCUCUCCGCACUGGUUCCAGAAUAUGUUGCUGCGGGGCGAGACAUACGAAAAGGCUUUACAUGGACUCAGGUUGCAGAAGAUUCAUGUUGCAGAUGUUUUACCUCUAGACAAGGAAAGAGUUUGGUGAGUUCGGAGAAGAGUGGUAGCAGGACAAAACGGAUGAAGCUGGUCUGGGAGGAUGGCUUGGAUACUUUGUCCCGGUCCAUGAACGGAGUGACUGGUAGCCCUUUGAGUUUUUCUGUGUCGCUCUGCGGCCCAGACAUGACAACACGGUCUUAUCACACCACUCACUGUCUUGCACAUAGGAAGAUGUCACAUUUUAAUUUGAACUUUUAUAGAUCAAAUGCUGAGGUAAAAAAAGAUAACGCUGCUUAACCUUUACUUUGAUUUUCACUUCCUGUGCGUGCCUCAAACCUGGUUGAAGAACUCCUGCAGCAGACAGUCCAGCCAGGGCUCGGCCACAGCCAUCGGUCUUGCCUCGUUGGAGAUGUCGCUCACCUUCACCAUGAUUUUCAUCAGCUGCACAUACAAGCCAAGCAGCACUGUUGACUCAGGAGAUUCUCUCUGUUAACUUUUAGAAUGAAAGCACCCAGUGGUUAGGUUCUUACCACUUCCUUGUGAUCCUUGUUUCUGAAAUCAAAUUUUGGCUGGAUGGAUUUGAACUUAUUAAGGAUUUCAUUGUGCCUCGCCAUGUCGGUGGCCAGAAUGCACCUGGGAAGACAAGGUGACGUGAAAUAGAGACUGAAGAACCUGAUGGAAAACAAUUGGAGCAGUUACUUGAUCAUUCCUGCUCGGAUGUGUUUGUACUGCUCUGUGGUGAGAUGUUUGAGGACGUUGCACUCCGGCUGCAAAGAUUUGACAAGAUGAAUGUACUGUCAAAGCGGAUAGUUUGUCGACCAGAGGCUGUGGGCACCUUGAACAGAAUGCCGAAGGCCACAGCACAGUGGUGGUUCUCCAGUGGGGAGAUGUCAUUGUAGCGAAGAGCCAAGUCCGUCUGAGCAUUAAUCUGUGUGACAUUCAGACACAACAAUCAUCUCUCCGAUGCAAGGAAGACUGCUGAGGGGGCAAAGCAACCUGGUAGACGUUGUUGUAGCCGGGGUGGUCAAGGUCAUGGCACAGGGCAGAGGUCAGCAUGAUCAGAAGGUCGAUCCUCGCCAGUUUGUUCCUGAGGUCUGUCAGCCAAAUGAGCCCGUACAUCUGCAGAUCAACAAAGCUGCUUUCAAACGCUGUUCUGCCUGAUGUAGCUGGACCCCUCUACUGGGCGCACCAUCUGAGUGACGCAGAAGCAGUGCUGGAAGUUGUGGAAGGGGAUGUUGUUGUAGUGGCAGUAGACCUCAAACAGGAAGUUUUGAAGGACGUCCAGCUCGAUGUGGAACACUGUCAGGAAAUCCAGGUCAGUGAACAUCACCUGGAGUAGCACCAGCAUCUCCGCCUCCUCCCACUGCCUGUCAACAGAAUCCCAAAGUCGUGCAGGGGAGCUAGUUAAAAAGUGCGUGUGCAUUUCUGUUUACACUCACCAGUUGUCAAAAAUGGGCGUUUUAAGAUGCUCCCUCACUUCUUCUGCCACCUGCAGAGAGCUACAGAAACAUAUUGCAUCACAAAACAUCCUUGACCCAAAUCAGAAUCUGCCCACUCACCUCAUGUUGAGGAACUUCCUGCGAACCUGCUGGCGCUCCUCAACCAUGCUCAGCUGAGGCCCCCUGGUUUUAGGCGGGCCCUCAUCCCUGAACAAACCCAUCCAGCUCAGGUGCUUGACACUCUUAACGGGGAAUAGACAGGUCAGCUGUGGCAUGUGAGCUCUCCCCGAGACUCAGGAGGGUUACAAACCUCCAGCUUGCGCUUGAAGGACUCCACCUGACUCUUCAGCUCACAAAUGAUUUCUGGCGUCUUCCCUGACUCUUGGAGGACUUUGGUCUCCAGGUGACACAGUCUGAUCGCACAUGAACGAUAGGAAGUGAGACCUUGUCCCUCACACCUUUUGUCAAUUAUUGCCUGAGCAACACUCACCUGUGCUCCAUGUUGUCCAGCUCAAUAGGCAUGGCAAUGCCUGCAUUUGGACACAAACAAUCUUAAAGCGGUGCACAACAAGUAAGAUAUGACCACCAAGAGAGAGUUAGUAAGGCAGCCACUAAAGAUACCGUCAGACAACGUGUUGUCAAACUUCUUUUGUGACUGUUCUGUUGGAAUCUCCUCUCUGAAUGGCAUGAAGUUCUGCAAUGUGAUAUAUUGCUGUAUAAGCAGUAUUAGUUGGAGUGGACGACCACAAUGUAUCGCACAAGACACCCUCUCAAAUGUAUCAUGCAUUGCUAAUGCAUUGAAAUACCCUCAAGCCGGUCCUAUCUAUGUCGACAAACUCAUCAAUUCCUGCUCGGAUAUGUUAAUUACCUUUAUUACUUAAAUGUACACACUUAACAGUCCCUUCAGGAAAACUAAUUUAACUAAUCCCCGGACGCAUCUUUGUCGUAUGCCCACAACUCUCUCUCUGAGCGAAGUCAACUGUACAAUCAAAACUUGUACUUGUUUGUUGUGUAGACAAAACAGACACAACAACAUUAAUUUGAAAAAACAGCACAUUUGUGGUAUUCCCGCUUAAUUGGUUCCCGUCUACAGUGCUAACUAAGCCGUCUGGGUAACGUAGUACAUGAACAUUGAGCAACAUCCGUACUUACUAGUUUACAUGCAUUUACAUAUCUAGCCUUUAUUUAGUAAUGGCAAAACAUAUAAGAACAUUUUAAUUUGCAAUGCUGACCGAGCAAAGAGGCAGCAUUUACACGUUAGAGAUGUUGAAGUGUGAUGGUAAUUCCUUAUCGCUGAUUUACCAAUAAAAAUGUGCGCUAUGGAUUGCUCUCAACAGUACACAAAUGCUCUCAACGUGCGGAACAUAUAUUGUUUUAAGAUGGACAAACCUUUCAAGUUUACAUGGAAAAUGUCUGCAACUGGAUGAUAGAGUAGACGGCAGAUAAUAAGGAAGCCUUUUGGUGGUGUUUCUUUCUGCAAUUAUGAUUAUUGCUAUUAGUUAUAAUUCAUUAAUAGUUGGCCUACUGGUUAGAGCGUCUGCCGUGGGAUGGCUAGGUUGUGAGUUCAAACCCCGGCCAAGUCAUACCAAACACCAUAAAAAUGGGAGCCAUUACCUCCCUGCUUGGCACUCAGCAUCAAGGCUUGGAAUUGGGGGUUAAAUCACCAAAAAUGAUUCCCGGGCGCGGCCAUUGCUUCUGCACACUGCUCCCCUCACCUCCCAAAUGCAGAGGACAAAUUUCACUACACCAAGUGUGUGUGUGACAAUCAUUGCUACUAUAACUUAACUUUAAAAUAGUACAAUAAUUUGACAAUGAGUAUGUGCUUUACUGCCAUCUAAUGUCGACUUUGAAGUCUGUUGCGUAAAAAAUGUUGGUAUUUUUCCAAUUUUCGACCUUUUGUACUUUUUGAGGUUAAGUAAUGCUUAAAACAUUGAUAAUAAGAUUACAACUUGAUUCAAUGUUAUUUAAAAAAUUAUUGCAACUUUUCAGAACCAGAUUUAUUGGCCAAGCAUUUUCAACACGCAAGGAAUUUGACUUGGUAGACUGUGCUCUUUGUUCAAUGCAAGAAAAAAAGAAAAACUACAAGAGCGCAACCUGCCACGGCGGCCAUCCGUGACACCAUUUUUUUGAUGCAACUUUCUGAAAAAGCUGUGACAUUUUAGACUGCAACAAUCCCAAAAAAUGCUGCCUGUAAGCACCGUGUGUUGUAUUUAUUUGCAAAUGAUGUGCCAAAGAGCUUCAAGGCCCUUUUUCCAGAGCUCUUUAAAUUGAUGGGAUGGUGUCAAGCAAAGUUUGAUUUAAAAACAAAACGAAAUUUGUUGCAGACAAGAGCGCUCACUUUGGAAGUCAGAUGCCACCACCUCCAGGCGGUAGUACGAGUCCUGGCUGUUGGGCUCCAGCAUGGGCGAGAUAUUCACCACGCUGCCAUUGGCUUUGUACAUCUUCAGGAUGUGAUGAGGCGCCGCAUCUGCCGCCACUCGGAACAGGUCUGUCACGUGUGACAGUCAGGUAUGAACAGUUUCAUAAGUCAUGUUUGGCAUUUUUGAGUAAAGCAACUGGUAGUAUAAAUCAACACUUGCGUCAACAAUUGGUUUGGACAGAUGGGUUCAAAUCUGAUUCCAAGGGUAGUAUCAUAUCAGUAUUAGGUCGAUACUGAUGUGGUGAGAUUGAUUGUUUUUCUUUGUAUGCAAGCAUAUCUCUGAGAUUGUUGUUCAUAUUGUUUUAUUAGGGAAAUAAGCCAUUUGACACAGGAGGGAUUUGGAGGCAAAAGGCCAAACUAUUUGAAAGGAAGCCAAAAUUAAUUGGUCCUUUUUUUUUUUGUAGUCAUUUUGCAUUUUUGACUUUAUAUUUGCUUGAACAAUUGUACAUAAUAAAAGUGGAUACAAAUUUUGUUUUGAGUAUGUUCAUAUUGUCUAAUAUGUUUGUAUUUAUGUAUUACAAUACAUACUUGAUUUUAGAUCAACAUCAAAAUGUGCAGUUUGUAAACAUGCUCAGUCCUAAAUCAGUGCUGUAUAAUUAAAAAAAAAAAUGUAGUGUUUUCUUUGAUCAAAUCUGCAAAUUGAAUAAAUGUGCCAGUUGACACAUGGAUUAUGAAUCUGUGUCAACAUGACAAAACCACUGGCUGA